AUUGAACGCUGGCGGUAGGCCUAACACAUGCAAGUCGAACGGCAGCACAGUAGCAACUUUGUCGUACGGGUGCGGACGGGUGGGUGGUUGAGGAAAACAUCGGCAGUUACGUUUUCUUGCAGGUCAACGGAGGGAAUCUUACCCUAUAAGUGCAUACGACCUACGGGUGGGAUCACGGGAUCUUCGGCCCUUGCGCGAUCGGAUGAGACGAUGUCGGAUUAGCUAGUUGGCGGGGUAAAGACCCACCAAGGCGACGAUCCGUAGCUGGUCUGAGAGGAUGAUCAGCCACACUGGAACUGAGACACGGUCCAGACUCCUACGGGAGGCAGCAGUGGGGAAUAUUGGACAAUGGGCGCAGGCCUGAUCCAGCCAUACCGCGUGAGUGAAGAAGGCCUUCGGGUUGUAAAGCCCUUUUGUUAGGAAAGAAAAGCAGCACUCUAAUACCCCGCUGUACUGACGGUACCCAAAGAAUAAGCACCGGCUAACUACGUG
rnacentral:rRNA from 1 species